ensembl:lncRNA
UUCACUUCACAAAACCCAUCAAGGCACAAUUCUGUGAACCCCACUUCGCCGUUAAGGUCAGCUUCCAAACAUGUAGUGGCACAGAGGAGCACCACAUGGUCAACAUACACCAUGGGACCAACAGACACCACUGGGCCAACAUACACCACGGGACCAACAGACACCACUGGGCCAACAGACACCACGGGACCAACAGACACCACUGGGCCAACAUACACCACGGGACCAACAGACACCACUGGGCCAACAUAUACCAUGGGACCAAGAGACACCACUGGGCUGACAUACACCAUGGGGCCAACAGACACCACAUGGCCAGCAUACACAACUGGGCUGAGACACAGCACAAAGUUGGCAUACAGCAUGGGCACCAGCACUGAGGGCACCAGACCCCAUCCACCAGUUCUCUCCCCUGGCACCUUUGUGACUUCCCACAGUGACACCUACAUCCAGAGCUCAUCGGAUGAAUUCCCUCUGCUCUCUGUUGUGAUACCAGCUCUGGUUUUGCUGAUUUUCAUCAUUACCACUGUUCUUGUUCUUACCAAAAUAAAGCUUCGUAAGGAGAUGGGAGAAGAAGGAAGCACCCUGGGACAGACAGAAGCUGUGCUGGUGCGGGCUGGGCUGAGUCCCACAGAAGGACAAGGGAUGGAGGAGCUCGGCAGCCCAGACAACACCAAUGGAUGCAAGGCAGAGUCGGGCAGACAUCGGAUAAUACGUGCUCUCCUCGGAAGGUUUGGGCAGACCAGGUUGUAUGAAUCCUUUGGUGAAAAAUAUUCUUUCCAACAUGAAUGAAGACAACUUGAGGGAGCCCAAGCAGAACCCCUUCUCUCAGAGCACGAUGUACAUAAGCUCAGAAGCUUCUUUAUUGAAAGGCAAGACACGGCUAUAAAUAACCUUGAAGCAUGCAGUACUUCUUCCUUGCUCCCCAUUCUGCAGCCAAAUGCCUUGUUGUGUGUGGUUUGUAGAGAACAAGAUGAGGCAACUAGCCACACAGCUCCUGUAUGCAGACCUGACUGUCUCAUGUAGAGCAGAGCACCCCAAUGGGGAGCUGGGUAUGGAAUGGAAGGAUCCUCGGGGCUGCAGAUCUAUCUCUUGGAAAUCCUCGUCCUUAGGGAUUUGUCUUGCAAAGCACAAACCAUGUCGGACUUCAGUCCAACACCAAAGAUUUCAGCCCAACAGCAGCCCAGGCUACGUGCCAUAUUUCAGCCCAGGAAAAAAAAAAAAAAAGCAAAGCAAGGGUUGUUUGUGUUCUGGAGAUGCCAAAGUGCUUUGGCACCUGUGACUUGGCAAGACGAUGCUUCCUUGUCUGUUAAAGCAAAUAUAUUUGCGUAAUUCCAUCUUGUUCAGAGACAAAGGAUUGGUUUUACCAGAAACUUCAAGGGCGAAGACAGAGGUUUGGAUAAAGAAACUGUUAGUCUGUCAGGAACAGCCUCUUGUCCAAGGAGCCCAAGUAACUGCAGGUCCUCACCAGCUGCUUUCAUCCAGGCUUCCCCUGCCUACAGCUGUGCUACCAUUCCCAGCUUCUUCCAAGCACAUCUCUGUGCACAUCAGCAGCCAGACAGGUGGUGGGGAAGGCAACACACAGGGAUCCAAAAAGGAAAGGCUCUCCUGAGAACAGGAGGUGUACAAAAAGCAAACACACCUGUGUUUGUCAUGGCCAAAUGCAAACCCCAGAGCCACUGUCCUGCUCCAGCUCCUCCACUUUCCCUAUGAGCAGGUGAGAAAGUCUUCCUGUGGCCCGGAAUUAAACAAAAAUUGCCUUAUUAGAAUAAAGGAAAGCAAGUUAAUGACGCAUCC